rnacentral:rRNA from 1 species
UAAGGAAUCUUCCACAAUGGACGAAAGUCUGAUGGAGCAACGCCGCGUGCAGGAUGAAGGCCUUCGGGUCGUAAACUGCUUUUGUUAGCGAAGAAUUUGACGGUAACUAACGAAUAAGCAUCGGCUAACUCCGUGCCAGCAGCCGCGGUCAUACGGAGGAUGCAAGCGUUAUCCGGAGUGACUGGGCGUAAAGAGUUGCGUAGGUGGUUAUGUAAGUGAAUAGUGAAACCUGGUGGCUCAACCAUACAGACUAUUAUUCAAACUGCAUAACUCGAGAAUGGUAGAGGUAGCUGGAAUUUCUAGUGUAGGAGUGAAAUCCGUAGAUAUUAGAAGGAACACCAAUGGCGUAGGCAGGCUACUGGACCAUUUCUGACACUAAGGCACGAAAGCGUGGGGAGCGAACC